ensembl:lncRNA
AAAGAUGGCCCAUCGAUAAUUCCUUUCUAAUGUCUCGAAAAAGAAAGUGCACCGAUGAAGCCAUUUUGACGUCCACACAAAAUCAGCAUAUUGAUGACAGUUCUUCACAGGCCAAAGAGCUUGUCAAGAGAGUUCUGGAACAAAAGCCUGGAGGGGAGAAGAUACUUCAAGAAUAUGCCAUGAGAGGAGAGAUUAAGGACCGGACACGCCGUGAACUUGUCAACAUCGUUGUUGCUGAUAUGGUGGAAAAGUAUGGGAACAUUUCUUUGAUGCAGAUAGCAACGAGGGCUACAUUGCAUGUGUAGCAGGAUGGGCCUUUAAUUAGUGCUGCAGUACCGGCCUAUCACUGUUGGGUGCGCUGCCUAUAAAGGUGGGUGGUUGUGCACUGGGAGCCAUCUUGCCUGGGAGCUCCUGGCUGCCCCGCCUCCUGUUAUCACUCCUGUUAUCACUCCUGUUAUCACCGCACCUGAUCGCCUCACCUGAUCGCCUUUUAGCUGGAUCGUGCAGCUCGCCGUUGUUUGGGUUGACGUGUGUGUGUGUGGGCGGUAUCUGCCAGCACGUUCCCCCCCCCUCUUCACGCUGCUGUUGGCCGGCUGCUGUUUUGUCCACUGGUUUAUAUAGCCAACACAUCCAUCCUACUCUGCAUCUCCUACUGUGCUGUACCUGCCACCGAGUAUGGUGAUUGCUGCCUCAUCCUCAGUCUCAUUAUCUUAAUCUAUUAAUUUAACCGACUUCUAACUGAUCUUAUUGAUGAUAUUAUUUGUGUUUUGUGGGUUGCUUUGCAUGUUUGUUUUUGGUUUAAUUCGUUUUCUUAGUUAUUUUGGGUUUGGCUUAAUUGCUUUAUUUAUUCAUUUGGAUUUAUCAGUUUGGAUAAAUCUCUAUUACCUUUGAUUUCAUUUCUUUGUUGUUAUUUGCCCUCCCCUUUUUGUGUAUUUUGUGUGUGUGUUCGCUUUAGUGUGGUUAUGUGAACAUAUAUUAUUGAGAAGUCAUGUUUAAAGAUUAUAUAUAUUAAUUAAAAGGAAUUGAAUUUGUAUGCUGGACCCAGUCUCAAGCUUUCAUUAGUAAACAAACUUGUGUGCUUUAACUGAGGUUAAUCUAACUCUCCAGGUGAAAUUCCUGGGGUGGCGUUGUUGGCAACUUGUCACUAGUUCUUUAACUAAACUCUAUCUUAUUGGUUCCUCGACCGCCGAAUGCCACACAUGGAAGCUUAAAAACACACAGCGGGACGUCAGCAGUGGCAGCAGUAGGAGUGGAUUUAGGAGAAUAAGCUCUCACACCUCAAACAGCAGUGGACCACAGUUGGAGAGAGAAGUGUCUAAUGAGCACCAGCUGGAGGGAGACCAUGUUGCGAGGCCAUUUCUCUACUGAAACACAGCACGGACAAAGAACAGAUAUUCAUGAAAAUGAAGGCAACCUUCAACCACCGACAACAGCUGAUCCACGAUCCUGAGCAAUGCAGCACAGUUCUUGCACUGUUCCCAAGGUUCCUUGACACGAAAGGUCUUGCAGGACUUUGACCUGUUUUUUAGAGCUGAGACUUCUUCAAAACUUCUUGAGAAAUGGGGAACACUCCUGAAGGUUGAAGUAAUACAGCAAGCCAAAAACCUCAGCAAGACACCCCUUCUUGACUACCUCAUUCAGUCUGCAGAGGAGAACCCUGAUGAGGAUGAAGGUUGGGAUAGUGACAUGGCCUCACUUCUCCUGCUGGUCUACCUCCUGCCACCACCUCCAAGUGGAAAGAAGGGAGCUGUGAAAAUUAGUAUCAGGGAAGCUGUGGAUCGUGUCGUCAAGUUUCACAAGUCAUGUCGCAGCCUUCAGGAACACUCUGGUCCAGACCAGCGGAGGCAGCCCUACAUCCUGGCAGUUGGGACGGCAAGAAACAGCAUCCAUCAGUACUACAUUGCGAUGGAUAAUGGGUUCCUUCCCUGCAAGGCCAGGUCUUCCCUCUCAGCCUUUGAACUUUUCAAGGCACAUUAUGUGUUUGGUGUCUCCUAUGACCAGGCCUUAAACGGCAUGUUUACAUUUGUGCAGACCACCAUCUACAACAUUGACAUCGGGCUCAAGGACCUCAGGGCAAAGCUCCUCAACUGAACUUAUGAUGUUUCGAUGCUGUGUGUGUAAAUCCGCUUUUCACAGCAUUCAGCUGUUGGUCCGCCAUCUCAAACUUUCCCAUGCCUUUUUUCCUGGUAUGCAGUUUCAAUUGGUGUGUGACCAGAAUGGAUGCCGUCAUAGAUUUUGUAGUUUUUCAGGCUUCAGAAAACAUCUUCAGUGCAAGCAUAAUGCUGAAAUUCUAGAUCCAGCUGUUAAUGAACCAGUUACUCCUUCAGUUGUUGUACAUGAUCAGCGAACAGUAUUAACUUUAAUUUCAGAGCAACCAGUGAAUUCUCAAAGUUGUAUUGAGAACAGGCAACAUACCCAAGAAAUGUGUGCAUCCCUUAUUGCAAAACUCCCAAGCAGUGGUGUGGCUACUAAUGUUGUAAAGACUGUUGUUGCAAAUAUGGAGGAGCUUGUAGAGGAAUUGCAUUCAACUGUUAAAGAAGAUGUGAUAAAAUUACUACCCGAUGAGGGCAUGAGAGCAAAAUUUGAUGAAUACUUUGACAGUCUUGAAAAUCCAUUUAGCAAACUAAACACUGAGACAAAAUUGAAAAAAUAUUUCAGUGAGAAAUGUGGUCUUGUAGAACCUGUUGAGGUCGCUCUAGGAGUGAGGUAUGACACCAGAAGGAAUCGAGACACUGGCACAUACGAACAAGUUCCUGUUACAGACAAAUUUGUGUACAUUCCUCUAUUGGAAACACUGAAAUUGAUAUUCAACAACAAGGAGAUUUGUGAUCAUAUUUUGCAGCCUUGUGAGAAAACAGGCGUUUAUAAAGAUUUCUGUGAUGGGAACUAUUUUAAAGAUCCCCCCCCUUUUCUCUGAAAAACCAAACUCUCUCCAAAUACAGAUAUUCUAUGACGAUUUUGAAAUGGCAAACCCACUUGGAUCCAAGCAUGGUAUCCAUAAGAUUGGAAGUAUAUACUUUGUUUUACGAAAUCUGUCUCCAAAGAUAAACUCGGCUCUAAUGAAUAUUCAUCUUCUGGCACUUUUUCACACUGCUGAUAUAAAUAAGUAUGGAUUUCAUACCAUCUUGGAGCCUCUUGUAUAAGAUCUGAAAGUCCUUGAGUGCACAGGAGUGGAACUUCCUUUCUCUGAUGAACCAGUUCGUGGCACAAUUGCUCAAGUAACUGGGGACAAUUUGGGAUUGCACACACUACUUGGGUAUGUUGAAUCAUUCAAUGCCAACUAUUUUUGCCAUUAUUGUCUGAUAGACUGUGCAGACAGUUUUUAGUGAUGAUGAUCCAAGAAUAACGUUCCGCAAUAAAGCACUCCAUGCUCAGCAUUGAAAUGACCUCAUGGCAGAUCCUACACUGGCUUCAACAUUUGGAGUGAAGCGAACGUGUUUACUCAGGCCCCGUUCACAUGAAGCCGAAACGGGCGAAACCGUUACGGUUUCGAUCUAUCCGGUUUCGAAGUAUCUCCGUAAAGACGAAGCCAAGCGAAACCGGGUAGAUCUGUAGAAACUCUGUAGUAAACAUUCCAGGCCCAUAAGGGGCGCUGCUUCUGGUACAGAAAUCCAGAAGAAAUGAAAUAAGAGGCGAGCAUGCGCAUAAAGG